UACGUAGGGGGCAAGCGUUGUCCGGAUUUAUUGGGCGUAAAGAGCGUGUAGGCGGCCAGGUAGGUCCGUUGUGAAAACUCGAGGCUCAACCUCGAGACGUCGGCGGAAACCAUCUGGCUAGAGUCCGGAAGAGGAGAGUGGAAUUCCUGGUGUAGCGGUGAAAUGCGUAGAUAUCUGGAGGAACACCGGUGGCGAAGGCGGCAUCCUGGACCAUGACUGACGCUGAGGAGCGAAAGCCAGGGGAGCAAACGGG
rnacentral:rRNA from 1 species